rnacentral:tRNA from 1 species
UGGACGAAUUCAUAAUGUAAUUUUGACAUCCAAUUAUCAUGAUUUAGUGUUCAUUAAA